rnacentral:snRNA from 1 species
AGCCAUGUAGUGAGCACAAAGCGAACUAUUCUUUCGCCUUUUACUAAAGAAUACUGUGUGUUUGUUGCGCUAAAUGGCAUACACUUAUUUUUGGAUAGCCCCUUUAUUAUUGAAGGGU